rnacentral:rRNA from 1 species
GACGAACGCUGGCGGCGUGCUUAACACAUGCAAGUCGAACGGUAAGGCCCUUCGGGGUACACGAGUGGCGAACAGGUGAGUAACACGUGGGUGAUCUGCCCUGCACUUCGGGAUAAGCCUGGGAAACUGGGUCUAAUACCGGAUAGGACCACUGCCUGCAUGGGUGGUGGUGGAAGGCUCUUGCGGUGUGGGAGGGGCCCGCGGCCUAUCAGCUUGUUGGUGGGGUGAGGGCCUACCAAGGCGACGACGGGUCGCCGGCCUGAGAGGGUGACCGGCCACACUGGGGGUGGGAUACGGCCCAGACUCAGACGGGGGGCAGCAGUGGGGAGUAUUGCACAAUGGGCGCAAGCCUGAUGCAGCGACGCCGCGUGGGGGAAGGCGGCCUUCGGGUUGGAAACCUCUUUCAGCAGCGACGAAGCGCAAGUGACGGUAGGUGCAGAAGAAGGACCGGGCAACUACGUGCCAGCCGCCGCAGUAA